UGGACAUGCAGAAUCCAGUUUUCCAGUUUGGGCCCCACCACUGUGACACUGCAGUGUAAAAUGGGAACAAGGAGCAACUGAUGAAGAAAAGAACUGGAUUACCACGAAUGCUGUUAGGAAUCUUUGCCGAUCUGCAUCCAGAGCCAGGUUUAAACCACAGGCAGGGUUGUAACCAUGGCUUUGAAUGCUGGUCUCUGUCCGGCGGCGUGCUCUCAGGGGGAAACCUGUCUCAGCAGCAGGUAAACAUAAAGCCUGCCUCAGACUUCCAGCAGUAUUGUGUCCAGGUCUGUCUCCAUGUCUGGAGGGAGAUGUGAUCAAGAUGGAAAUGCCUUGGAAAAAAAUCAGCAGUGAUGGCCAGAUCCAUCAGCUCCUGUGUCCCAGCCCCAAACUGAUCUGGAUGCAGCAGCGGUCCCGUGCCACCGCCGACCAAGCUUCCUGUCCUCUCAGAUGUGGCAGGAGUGCCGUCCGUCUGUCCGUCCGUCUCUUUCUCCCUCCCUGCGAGGAGCAGAGUGGAGCAGACGUGGGUUCCAGCUUCCCUGCCUCUCCUCUUCACCUUGCUCAAUAAAGACUUUUCCCUCCCCAGU
rnacentral:lncRNA from 1 species